rnacentral:rRNA from 1 species
CCUACGGGAGGCUGCAGUGGGGAAUUUUGGACAAUGGGCGCAAGCCUGAUCCAGCCAUGCCGCGUGAGUGAAGAAGGCCUUCGGGUUGUAAAGCUCUUUCAGACGGAAAGAAAUCGCGCGCUCUAACAUAGCGCGUGGAUGACGGUACCGUAAGAAGAAGCACCGGCUAACUACGUGCCAGCAGCCGCGGUAAUACGUAGGGUGCGAGCGUUAAUCGGAAUUACUGGGCGUAAAGCGUGCGCAGGCGGUGAUGUAAGACAGAUGUGAAAUCCCCGGGCUCAACCUGGGAACUGCGUUUGUGACUGCAUCACUCGAGUACGGCAGAGGGAGGUGGAAUUCCACGUGUAGCAGUGAAAUGCGUAGAGAUGUGGAGGAACACCGAUGGCGAAGGCAGCCUCCUGGGCCAGUACUGACGCUCAUGCACGAAAGCGUGGGGAGCAAACAGGAUUAGAUACCCCAGUAGUC